CCUACGGGAGGCAGCAGUGAGGAAUAUUGGUCAAUGGACGAGAGUCUGAACCAGCCAAGUAGCGUGAAGGAUGACUGCCCUAUGGGUUGUAAACUUCUUUUAUAUGGGAAUAAAAUGUUCCACGUGUGGGAUUUUGUAUGUACCAUAUGAAUAAGGAUCGGCUAACUCCGUGCCAGCAGCCGCGGUAAUACGGGGGAUCCGAGCGUUAUCCGGAUUUAUUUGGUUUAAAGGGAGCGUAGGUGGAUUUUUAAGUCAGUUGUGAAAGUUUGCGGCUCAACCGUAAAAUUGCAGUUGAAACUGGCAGUCUUGAGUACAGUAGAGGUGGGCGGAAUUCGUGGUGUAGCGGUGAAAUGCUUAGAUAUCACGAAGAACUCCGAUUGCGAAGGCAGCUCACUGGACUGCAACUGACACUGAGGCUCGAAAGUGUGGGUAUCAAACAGGAUUAGAUACCCCUGUAGUC
rnacentral:rRNA from 1 species